rnacentral:ncRNA from 1 species
GAAAAGACUGUGAAGAGAAAUAGUAAAUAGUUCAGUUUGUGUAGAGAGCCGGUGGUAGGUGCAAACCGGUGAAAUUGGCUAUUGAAUCCGUCUCGGAGUUGUGGACUGAAAGAAAGAGUAGGUCCAAACGGGUGCGACCGUUAUAUCGCAGCAAAGAGGAUUGAAGGAAUUCAAUCAAUUUGGGUGGCAACGCGGGAAUAUAACUCUCGUCCCUAUC